rnacentral:rRNA from 1 species
CAGCAGCAGCCGCGGUAAUACAGAGGGUGCGAGCGUUAAUCGGAUUUACUGGGCGUAAAGCGUGCGUAGGCGGCUUCUUAAGUCGGAUGUGAAAUCCCUGAGCUUAACUUAGGAAUUGCAUUCGAUACUGGGAAGCUAGAGUAUGGGAGAGGAUGGUAGAAUUCCAGGUGUAGCGGUGAAAUGCGUAGAGAUCUGGAGGAAUACCGAUGGCGAAGGCAGCCAUCUGGCCUAAUACUGACGCUGAGGUACGAAAGCAUGGGGAGCAAACAGGAUUAGAUACCCCCGUAGUCCCUGUCUCUUAUAU